rnacentral:rRNA from 1 species
CUGGUUGAUCCUGCCAGACCCGACUGCUAUCGGAUUGGGACUAAGCCAUGCGAGUCAACUCCGCAAGGGGUGGCGCACGGCUCAGUAACACGUAGUCAACCUACCCUGGGGACGGGGAUAACCUCGGGAAACUGAGGCUAAACCCCGAUGGGCCAUGGCUCCUGGAAUGGGCUAUGGCUGAAAUCUACAUGGCCCCAGGAUGGGACUGCGGCCGAUCAGGUUGUUGGUGGGGUAAUGGCCCACCAAGCCUAUAACCGGUGCGGGCUCUGAGAGGAGGAGCCCGGAGAUGGGCACUGAGACAAGGGCCCAGGUCCUAUGGGGCGCAGCAGGCGCGAAACCUCCGCAAUGGGCGAAAGCCCGACGGGGUCAGUCCGAGUGGUUCCCGCUGAGGGAACCUUUUGCCAGCUGUAAACAGGCUGGCGAAUAAGGGGUGGGCAAGUUUGGUGUCAGCCGCCGCGGUAAUACCAGCACCCCGAGUGGUCGGGACGAUUAUUGGGCCUAAAGCAUCCGUAGCCGGCCCAGUAAGUCCUCCGUUAAAUCCAACGGCUCAACCGUUGGGCUGCGGGGGAUACUGCUGGGCUAGGGGACGAGAGAGGCGAGGGGUAUUCCCGGGGUAGGGGUAAAAUCCACUGAUCCCGGGAGGACCACCAGUGGCGAAGGCGCCUCGCUAGAACGUGCCCGACGGUGAGGGAUGAAAGCUGGGGGAGCGAACCGGAUUAGAUACCCGGGUAGUCCCAGCCGUAAACGAUGUAGGCUCGGUGUUGGGCUGCCUCAGUGGCAGCCCAGUGCCGCAGGGAAGCCGUUAAGCCUACCGCCUGGGGAGUACGGCCGCAAGGCUGAAACUUAAAGGAAUUGGCGGGGGAGCACCAC